rnacentral:rRNA from 1 species
CACGGGGGGAGCAAGCGUUGUUCGGAAUCACUGGGCGUAAAGGGCGUGCAGGCGGUCAGGUAAGUGGGAUGUGAAAUGCCCCGGCUCACCCGGGGACCGGCAUCUCAUACUGCUUGGCUUGAGUACGGGAGAGGAUGUGGGAAUUCCUGGUGUAGCGGUGAAAUGCGUAGAUAUCAGGAGGAACACCGGUGGCGAAGGCGGGUCUCUGGGCAACAACUGACGCUGAGGAGCGAAAGCGUGGGGAGCGAACAGG